rnacentral:tRNA from 1 species
GCCCGGGUGGCGGAAUUGGCAGACGCCGGGGACUUAAAAUCCCCUGUCUUAGGACGUGCGGGUUCGAGUCCCGCCUCGGGCA